CCGGAACAAUCUGGGUUUGCGGCAUUCGGGAGCCAAAACGUAUGAGUUUCGGGGUGUUUGACGAUCAAGGUAUGACAGUACUGAAAUGUGUUCCCAGAGUAGCGUGAAUCAGCAGGGGUCAAGGGUAUAGCCUCAGGGGAGGAUCUCUUGCUUGGUAUCAAAACAGUCUAGGUAUCCCAUCAACCCUGAGGCCUGUAAAUGUAUUGUGAUCUGAUCUCUCUGAUGGUAUUUUCUCUGCCUCUUCUCGGGUUGGUGGACUUUUUCUUUACGUAGCCAGAUUUUCCUCAUGACUCUCCUUUUCAGAAGAAAGCUCCUAAACAUUAAUCACGCUAAUUAAUGCUAUCAGUCCUUGUUAAUUGUUUUGCCUGCCUGUGUCGAAUAGCUAAGUGCUUGUGUCCAGACUUGAUACCGUGGGGCUUGAAAAGAGAUGCCUCUCGCUUAAUGUAGGGUCAGGACUGAGCAAUCAUUCCAGACACUGUGUGAUAUAUAUUGAAUAAAUUGUUUUGCUGGUUUAACACAUGAAAUAUUCACUAGGAAGAUGAACUGUAAAAACAACAUGGAUGUGGGAAUUCACAAUGAGAUGCCAGACAGGUCUGAUAAGUAACUUGCAGUUCUAAAGCAGUAGGGGUGGUUACAUGCAUUUUCAUACUGAAUUGCUUGGGAUUCCAUAGCAUAAUUACUUUUCCCCCUGCAAAUAGAGACACACACAGAUACAAACAGCCUUAAGGCACAAUGAUGAUUUGUGUGAGAACUCCUAUUAAUUGAAAUCAAAACAUUCCAAUCAGUCAUACAAUCAAGCCACAGCGAAACUCAAAUUAAAUCUCCUUAAGUAGUUAAGAAAUAUUUUCAUGUAGCACCUUUAUAUUCUGCUGCUUCAUUGGUAAGGAAUAAUAAUAGUAAAAACAACAAAGCUUCGAUGAAAACACACAAUUCAUUUCUGGUUGUAAAUGAAAGAGCAGAAAUCCUAAUGGAAGCUAUUGCUAAGUUAAUUGCACUGGCCACAGCUGAGCAUGUUGUUUUAGAAAGCAGUGUGGGCACCUUGCGGUAUGAACAACAACAUCAAAAACCCUGCAGGGAAAUAAUGCAAUGCCUGGAUAUCCUGCCGUUUCACUGCAUCCUUGUCUGCCCUGAAGGGAAUUCUCAUUUUCAAGUGAUUCCAUUUUACUUGUGGGGAGUUUGUGCCAAUCUAAUCAUGGAUGAAUAACAGGCUCGAAACCUUAAUAUACAGUGACCAUUCAUCCAUAAAACUGAAAAUGUUAAAAGGCACCCUCUGAAACAACUGCGCUCAAGAAUUCAAAUGCCUCAGUGUCCAAAUGUAAGUGAUGCCAGGGGCACAUCUAAUAAGGCUGAUAAAAUGUAGUUUGACGCUUUUAAAUAGAUGAAGCAGUUGCGAGACAACACACAGAUUGGUUCAGUGGAUAACAGUUCUCUGUGGAAAUUGUCUGUGCACAGGCUCUGGGCAUUAUCAUAACAACCACCCCCAAGUUAUAAAUAAGCACUGGAUGAAGAACAAGGGGCUUUAAAUGAAAUACUGGCUGGUUCUUUGGGGAGAUUUAUACCAAGGUUGCCCAAGGCAUUUUUGCGCCUUGUGUGAAAUACUUAAAAGAUGAUACAUAAAAUUAGACCUGUAACAAGGUAUUGUAUCCCCACUAGAGCAGUGCAUAAGUGGCCUCUAAAAUUUUUCCACUGUAUUUGUGGGCAGAGAAGUUAGGGGACUGAAUUUCUUUGGUUGAGAGUGAGAAAUUUCUCUACAGGUUCCAAGGAUAAAGGCUUACCACUUUCACAGUCUUUCCUCCCUAUUUUUUUCUAUAUUGGCAGCCCAAACACUGUUUUCCAUCCUCCAGAAUGCCCCAGACCUUCCUGGGCAUUGGGUGUGGGAGGGUGUGGGAGGGUGAGUAAUGGUGGCCUCCACAAAAAAAGUUUGAGAGUAUUAAAGGAGAAAACACCUGCAAAGUGGCCUUCUUUUUCUAGGAAAAUCUUUUUAUCCAGGCUCAUGUACUGUGGUGGUCCCACUGUCUUUCUGUUGCCUCUCAGUCAUUUUGAACGUGCUAUGGCUGUGUCGACCACAGCAAACUAUGGCAAGUUCUUAAAGAAAUGGGAGUGCCUGAUCACCUCAUCUGUCUCCUGAGAAAUCUCUAUGUGAGACAAGAAGCUACAGUUAGAACAGGAUAUGGAACAACUGAUUGGUUCAAAAUUGGGAAAGGAGUACGACAAGGCUGUAUAUUGUCUCCCUGCUUAUUUAACUUAUAUGCAGAAUUCAUCAUGCGAAAGGCUGGGCUGGAUGAAUCCGAAGCCGGAAUUAAGAUUUCCAGAAGAAAUAUCAACAACCUCAGAUAUGCAGAUGACACAACCUUGAUGGCAGAAAGUGCGGAGGAAUUAAAGAACCUUUUAUUGAGGGUGAAAGAGGAGAGCACAAAAUAUGGUCUGAAGCUCAACAUCAAAAAAACGAAGAUCAUGGCCACUGGGCCCAUCACCUCCUGGCAAAUAGAAGGGGAAGAAAUGGAGGCAGUAAGAGAUUUUACUUUCUUGGGCUCCGUGAUCACUGCAGAUGGUGACAGCAGUCACGAAAUUAAAAGACGCUUGCUUCUUGGGAGAAAAGCAAUGACAAACCUAGACAGCAUCUUAAAAAGCAGAGACAUCACCUUGCCAACAAAGGUCUGUAUAGUUAAAGCUAUGGUUUUCCCAGUAGUGAUGUAUGGAAGUGAGAGCUGGACCAUAAAGAAGGCUGGGCGCCGAAGAAUUGAUGCUUUUGAAUUAUGGUGCUGGAGGAGACUCUUGAGAGUCCCAUGGACUGCAAGAAGAUCAAACGUAUCCAUUCUUAAGGAAAUCAGCCCUGAGUGCUCACUGGAAGGACAGAUCGUGAAGCUGAGGCUCCAAUACUUCGGCCACCUCAUGAGAAGAGAAGACUCCCUGGAAAAGACCCUGAUGUUGGGAAAGAUGGAGGGCACAAGGAGAAGGGGACGACAGAGGAUGAGAUGGUUGGAUGGUGUUCUUGAAGCUACCAGCAUGAGUUUGAUCAAACUGCGGGAGGCAGUGGAAGACAGAAGUGCCUGGCAUGAUCUGGUCCAUGGGGUCACGAAGAGUCGGACACGACUAAACGACUAAACAACAACAACAAAUGGCUGUGGGCAUGGACUACUCAAGCACUCUUACCCCAUCUUCAUAACCCCAAAUUUAAUAAGGACUGAGAAUGGGGCCAUAGCUCAGUGGGAGAUAAUCUGCUUUGCUUGCAGAAGUUCCCAGGUUCAAUGCCUGCCAUCUUCAGGUAAGGUUGAGAGAGACUCUUGGCUGAAGCCCUGGGGAGUAGCUGCCAAUCAAACUGAGCUACAUGGGCAAUGAUCUGACUUAGUCGGCUCUGGAUCCAUUCCAGUCUGGCUUCCGCGCUGGUCAUGGGACCGAGACGGCUCUGGUCGCCCUAACAGAUGAUCUUCGUAGACAGCUGGAUCGAGGCGGGUCGGGGCUGCUGAUUCUUCUAGAUCUGUCAGCAGCUUUCGACAUGGUUGAUCACGAACUUCUGGACCACCGCCUUGCCGACGUGGGGAUCCAGGGCACAGUCCUUCAGUGGCUGCGCUCGUUUCUCUCUGGUCGGGGACAGAGGGUGGCGCUUGGGGGGGAAUUGUCAUCGCGCCACUCCUUGGUGUGUGGAGUACCUCAGGGUGCGAUACUCUCCCCGAUGCUUUUCAACAUCUUUAUGCGCCCCCUUGCCCAGCUUGUUCGGAGUUUUGGGCUGGGUUGCCAUCAGUAUGCCGAUGACACCCAACUCUAUCUGUUGAUGGAUGGCCAUCCUGACUCGGCCCCAGACACACUGACCAGAUGUUUGGAAGCUGUGGCUGGAUGGUUACGUGGGAGCCGGUUGAAGCUAAAUCCUUCGAAGACAGAGGUCCUGUGGCUGGGACGGGGCGAUAUGGGAUUGGGGGGGGCAACUCCCAUCUCUUGCGGGGGCGCAAUUAGUGCCAGCACCGUCGACACCUCCCUUUCCAUGGAGGCGCAGAUUGCAGCUAUAACAAAGGCGGCAUUUUUCCAUCUCCGCCAAGCUAAGCAGUUAGCUCCUUACCUCUCUUGCCCUGACCUAGCCACUGUGAUCCACGUGACGGUCACCUCCAGACUGGAUUAUUGUAACUCGCUCUACGUGGGGCUGCGCUUGAGACUGACCCAGAAACUCCAGCGAGUGCAGAAUGCUGCAGCGAGACUCCUUACGAGGUCUUCGCUGCGAGAUCACAUUCACCCGGUGCUACACCAGCUGCACUGGCUCCCGGUGGAGUACAGGAUCAGGUUUAAGGUGCUGGUUUUAACCUUUAAAGCCCUAUACGGCCUAGGACCCUCGUACCUACGGGACCGCCUCUCCUGGUAUGCCCCACAGAGAAACUUACGGUCUUCAAAUAAAAACAUCUUGAAGCUCCCAGGCCACAGAGAAGUUAGGCUGGCCUCAACUAGAGCCAGGGCUUUUUCGGCUGUGGCUCCGAUCUGGUGGAACACUCUGUCAGAGACCAGGGCCCUGCGGGACUUGACAUCUUUCCGCAGGGCCUGCAAGACAGAGCUGUUCCACCAGGCCUUUGGCCAGGGCACAGCCUGACUCCCUCCCUCGGCAAUCUUCGCGGAGCUCUGGCCCAAUGGUUGCCAGUGGCCUGAAUUAAUUAAUUUUAUAAUGAAUGAUUUUAGAGUGUUGUUUAUGCUAUACUUUUAUACUGUUUUAUUGUUGUUAGCCGCCCUGAGCCCGGCUUCGGCUGGGGAGGGCGGGAUAUAAAUAAAAUUUAUUAUUAUUAUUAUUAUUAUUAUUAUUUAUUAUUAUUAUUAUAAGGCAGCUUUCUAUGUUCCUGUGUAUCCAUGCAGAGCAAACGGCACACCUAGCUCGACCGCAAAAGUGAUGGCAUCCAGGGAGAAGCAGAGCCAGCCAACCAGAUUAUUUUCGUUUUCAGAUUAGCAUCACAAGAGCUGCAGGGGAAUCAGCUCUCGAAGUGGAGCUCCUGCACCUUUAGCUAACCUAUAUGGCUUGAAUCCAAGGUAUAAAUAUUCCAGUGCUUCUGCUUUAAUUGACUCUGUAUAACCAUGUCAAAUAAGAGCUGGUGCUUCUAUGGAAACCAUGGCUUGUAGCAGGAUGGAAGACAAGAGAGUGCGAGAUGAAAUGGCUCUCAGAUCGUUUGGGCCACAUUUCUUGACAUUCUAACUGAACAGACACUUCAGGUUUCAGAGAAAUCACGUAGAUUUUCCUUUUCCUUUAUUCCUCUGUCAUAUGCAGUGCCCAUUAUUAUGGCUCAACGCUAGGUCUUUAUGCAGCUAUAAUGAAAAGGCAUGAAUGUGACAAAUCUGCAGGAAUAGGCAUGCUGUUAAAUGAAAAGAAACAGUUUCUUCUCACACUGACUUUGAUUAGAGGCUCUGGAUUAUUGAUGCUCCUGAUCAAAUGGAGACAAAAGUCUCUUAUAGUUGAAUGAUGAAGCCUCCUCCUCUUACAUUCAAAUGAAGAUAUUUCAAGAUGUCUCAUCACUGAGGCUACAUCUUUGCAAAGAAGGGGAAAUAUUCCUUUUAAUUACAAAUGGUAGCUGGGAUCCAAAGUGGUAUUUCAGCUUAAGAGUGGUCCACUGGAAAGAGUGACAUUCCCCCCCCAUGAGCAACUGAUUGUGGUGCCUGUAACAGGACUAAGAAAAAGAAAAUCUCCCAAUUUCAAUGCCACGCCCACCGUUUUUAGGCUACAAAACUGAGCAGUCAUUUUGGUGACUGGAGGGGACAAAAAGGAAGUGAAGGUGGCAGCAACAGCAGUUCCAGAUGUCUGGAAUGCUGAUGACCACUGAUUUCUCUAUCCUCUACAGAGGUCCUUUGUAGCCCUCACUGUACAAGUGGCUUUGUCAGCAUGUGGAGUCAUUCUGCAGCUAAGGAGAGGGAAGACAAUGUUGGGGUGUGUGUGUAGUGUGUGUAAUUGCAUCCAUUUGUUAAAACCCCAGAAGCCUUUUUGUUAGGAAAUUUAGGGCAAGAUUUGCCAAAGGAAAAGCAUAGACUCUUUAUGUACGCUACAACUGCUGCAAGGAUGUUACUGGUGCAAAGAUGGAAAAGCAAUAAAAUACCAACUAAAGAAGAAUGGCAAGAAAAACUUACAGAAUAUGCUGACAUGGCAAAACUAACUGACAGACUACAAAAUAAUGACAAAAAAGUCAUUUAAGGAAGAUUGGAAACCAUUUUUGGCUUCUCUACAGAAACAGUUCAAAGAACUGAACUCAUUAGCAGGUUUCGAGUAAACAUUUACAAGUAACAAAAUGUAUAUAAAUUAUAAGAUCAUGCACGGGAUCUCUGUUGGAUGUGGCAUUCUUCCCAGUGGGGUGACAUCUCCACCUCAUUCUAACCUUUUCCAUUCAGCAGAUCUGGACUCUGCUGGUUAGUAUCCUAAAGCUCUCAACUGGUAUCAAUGAAGCACUGCUGAUUUAGGCGUUGUCUUUUCAAGCCAGGGUUGAAAAGAUGGUCUUACAAUAUGCACAAGCAUGAACAUCGGCUCACAGCAAUGGAGUGAAGAAAAAGUGUGUGGGCAAGGUUGACUUCAAGCAAAAGAUUAUUUAUAUUUACUUAUUUGUCAUUGUUUAUAUCUUUCCUUCUCUCCCUCCCAAAAAGGAGCACAGGGUGACUAACAAAAUAAAGCAACACGUUAAUCAUAAACCUAUUUAAAACUUUAUCAUCAGUAUAAAUAGUGACAGAUAAUAUCUGCUGAACACCAACCAUACCCCAGAUACACAAACAAGCUCAAAUCCAGCUUGAUUUCAGAUUAAACCUCCGAAUCACCAAAACAACUUACAGUGAAUUUUUCAGUAAUUUUUUUUCAGCCAGUGCCUAGAGGGUCACUCUGUGUUUUACAAAGCUAUUAUUGUCUCUCAAAAGAAACACCAUUUCUGCCGAGUUUUACCUGCUUGCUUGUGCAAACAAGUGUUUCAGAAAGCAAUCUCCUGGAUUUAUAUAUAAGGGGAAGGCUUAACAGAUAAUGAGUGAUGUCUUCAUUAAAAUACAUAAACUCUUGGGUUUAGGGUUGCAUUAUCUGGUUUCCAUCUUAAGUUGAACUCUUGACUGCUGCUUCAAUGGAUUGUGGACAAGGGGGUUAGGGGAUCCUGUCUACUUACUGAUCAUUUGUUCUGUUUUUUUUAAUGGGGAGGUAGAUUAUGUUACAUUAAACCAUGGGUAGGCAAACUAAGGCCCAGGGGCUGGAUCCGGCCCAAUCACCUUCUAAAUCUGGCCCACAGAUCAUCCAGAAAUCAUCCUGUUUUUACAUGAGUAGAAUGUCAUUUUAUUUAAAAUGCAUCUCUGGGUUAUUUGGGGGCCUAGGAAUUCAUUCACCCCUCCCAAUAUAGUCUGGCCCCCACAAAGUCUGAGGGACAGUGGACCCCCUGCUGAAAAAGUUUGCUGACCCCUGCAUUAAAUGGUUUCUAGUACAUUUUCUAGUACAUUUUCUGGUCACUUUCCUUAUGACAAAUAGUCCAGUUUUUUCAGUUUUUUAAACUAGCUGCACAAGAAAACCAAAUCAGUUGCACUUGCAGAACCAUUAUGUGAUUGAACUCCACUCAAAAUAGUGCCAACCUCAUGUAUAGUUCAAUGCAUCUGAAUUUCCAGAUUUUAGGUCACCCUGGAAAUAAUUCAGGUACAGUGGUACCUCGGGUUACAAACGCUUCAGGUUACAGACUCCGCCAACCCGGAAGUAGUACCUCGGGUUAAGAACUUUACCUCAGGAUGAGAACAGAAAUUGCGUGGUGGCAGCGGGAGGCCCCAUUAGCUAAAGUGGUACCUCAGGUUAAGAAUGGUUUCAGAUUAAGAAUAGACCUCCGGAACAAAUUAAGUUCUUAACCAGAGGUACCACUGUAUUACGCUUGAGAUACAAGUAGCAUAAGGCUUUGAGGUUCGAUGUACCAGGGAAGAACACUUUAAGUGGUGAUUCCAGUGUUUUCAUUAUUGGCUAGUGGGCAGAGUCAACACGAUCCUAUUCUUUAAGAUUCUAUGAAAGCGCCCUAAGGUAUAUCUAAUGCAAGAGCCAGAAAGAAGUGGUUAAGACUGUUGGACUAGGAUCGGGAAGGCAUAGGCUCAAAUCCCUACAUUAGUUUCCAGCUUACCUGGAGACCUUGGGCUAGUUAUCUUUAUAUCUAACCCAGCUCAUAGGAUUGUUGCAAGAAUAACAUUGAGGAAAACCAUGCACACAGCUUUGUGGUCUUUGGAGGAAAGGCAGGAUAGAAAUGUAAUACAUUCUCACUUGUGCCUUUCAAAAUCCACCUUGUAAACCUUACUUAGUGCAAUUGAGCAAUAACAUCCCUCCCCAUGGCAAUGGCACCUUUUUCUUAGUAGGUGGAGCAGUUCUUGGCAUGUUGAUAUUAUAGUUAGGUUUGCCUCUCUUUUUGUUUUCUGAAAUAAAAUAGAAAGGAGAAAAGUUUUGAAGCGCUGUGGUGGGAACUUAUCAAUAUUGAUGCUGUGUUCUUUGAAGAUCUAUAGUGCUAGUAGGACUGGGGAAAAUAUUCCUAUUGAACCUUGAUCUUGCUCAGAGUGAACCCUCUGCUAGGUUCAAUUUAUCAUGUGGAAGUGCAUGGACUUUCCCCCUCACCCUAUCAUGUGAUCUCCAUCAGCUCACUAUAAUCUGAGCUAGUCUUUGUUUCUUCUCAACUACUGCUUUCUUGAUCUCCACAGUCAUUUUUCCUUAGCUACUCCGUAUAUUUAUUUGACUGCAUAAGUAGCAGGUGGUAUUGCAGAUGCAGUAUUUUUCUGUCCAGAAGUUUUCAAAUGCCUUUGCUUUCCCCUGUUAUAUUAAAAGGACUGGUGUUGGGGGUCAGCACCUGCCUAUGUCCCAGCACAGGGGCCUGCACCUGUAUUCCCACUCCUUACCAUCCUCACCACUGCCACCUGCUUGCUCAUUCUCCCCUUUCCUCUGGUCCAGAAGAGGUGAGAAGGUGAAUGACAGCAGCAGUUGGAAAAGCAGCAGCUGCUACCACCUAACUGCUCACAGAGUCCUUUUUAUCUGGCAAAAGCUCAAAGUGGUGGGUGUGAGGAAGGCUCCCAGUGACAGGCAGCUGACACUGAAAGAGGGGAAUGCCUGAUCGGGCCUUGCUCAGGGCCCCCUGAAAGUGGGCUGGAGCUGACACUGAGACUUCAUUAAAAUGUUUAUGCCCACAAGAAUUGCCCUGCUGAAUUAGAGAGAGAUCCAACUGGUCCACCAUUUUAUUUCCAAAGGUAGCCAAUCAGAUGUCUCUGGAAACUUAUAAGCAGGGCAUGAAAUGAGUAGUUUCCCUUUAUAUCUGCCUCCAGCAUGUUCUGCUCACUUUAUUACUCUACUUCUUAUUUGAAGACCUGCAAUGAGAAAUGUCCAUCCUUCCUUCUGAACCUCCAAAAGGGAACAAGACUUUCCCUAUCUAAUUUUUGUGAAGUCAAGAGAUGGACUCCACCUGGGAGCAAAGUACAGUAUUUUAAUGAUAACCCUGCUAUACCAUCACAUUCCUUUAAAAAGAAAUUUUGCAUGCUCAGGCAUAUUUUAUGGGAGACAGAAAGAAUUAAAGAACUUGAGUAGGAAUUUGGUCAAGUAUCACAAAGGAAGACCUAUAUUCUUUGAUAAGGUCAGUGAAAUCUCACCUUCCCCUGCUGGAAUUAGCCAUUAUGCUACCCUACCUUUUUUGCCUGGAAACAGGUUGUUCAUCCACAACAGUGAACAUAGGAAGAAUGAGAAGAAAUGCCAUAGUGCAUCUGCAGCAGCAUAACUGGAUGCUUUCAUCUGCCUCAGCUGCAACAAAACAUGUCUCUCCUGUAUUGGUCGCUACAGCAGGCACAGUAAAUCUCCAGUGCUUUGACUUCGCUUCCAAAGGCGCACCCCCCCCCAUGUCUCCUGAAACAGACAGAUUCCAACAACAACAACAACAGGUACAUCCAGUAUUCAAAAGUUUCCCAGUCUGAGCCUCGUUUGGCUAACUUUGACUGUAAUCCUAUACAUGGUUACCUGGGAUUAAGUGCUGCUAAAAACUGGGGCAGGGGGAGCUGUAUAGGAUUGCAUUACUGGUUAUAAGAAAUGUAAAUCUGACUCUGCAAUGGUAGGAGGUCCACAGAAGUAAGUGGUUUCAUUCACAUUUAGGUGGGAAAUAAAUCACAGUGUUGUAGUAGAUAAAAUUUUGGAAGUGGACCAAAUUCCUACUCUGCUAUGAGGCUCAUUUGGUGACCUUGGACCAAUCCCUCUUUCACACUAUCUCAUCACUAUCGAUCUCUCGGAUCUGUUGUGAGAAUACAGUAGGAUAAUCUUCCUGGAAAUCCUUACAAAAGUUAGCCCAGGAUACAAAUGUGGUUAUGCUUUCCUUUCCUUUUUCAAUGUCCUUCUGCUGAGCUUCACAGUGGCUUUUAAACAUCAGGGGUUUAAUAAAACAUGGUCUGAGUAUUCAUCAGUGUUAACCCUAACCUCCUUCUCUACCUGCCAAUGUGACAUAGGUGGUCAACCAAUCCUAGGGAUUUCUGAGAAUUGAGAUGUGCAUGCUAAUACCCAAGCCGUCCCAGAUUUCUUUAUAAAUGUGUUUGGGAGAAAUAAGAGACUCACUGGAAUAUCUUGAAUUGGGCUCCAAUGGGAUUCACAUGUUAGCCUCUGUUUUAUCAUUAGAAUGAAUGCUAGAGACACUGUGUCCUUGAUGGUUUUAGUUUGGUGUUCUGACAUUAACUCUAACCAAGGUCCUUAUUUAACCAGCAGAGAGAAUGACACACACAAAAACGCAUGAAAUCAAAGCUGCACUGAAUUUAAGAACAAAUGUCACCUACACAGGAAGAGCACACUCAAGAUAAUUGGACUAAGUACAGCUGAUUUUUAUUUGUUUCUAUGCCGUGCAAAGCUUUAUUUUUAUUUUUAUGGGGAAACCAUGCAGUAAUUGUCCUUUUGCAACUGUAGCCAUGACUCAUAACAGUGUCUGAGUCAUAAUGUAUUAUAGUAUCAUUGCAUCUUAUUCACACUUUUUAAAGAUUAUCAUUCAGCACUAGUGUUAUUAUUUUCUAAAGGGUUUGAAUGAGCAGUUUACUAAUCUUUAAAAAAAAAUCCCUAAAUAUCAUGACAGCAAGCAAGUUCACUGGUUAAAACACUUGUGAUAAGGAAGGAGUAGGCUGGAAUUCAGUGUGGGCUACUUAUUUCCUGCUCUGUAAACCUAUUAGACUCCACAAUGUAACAUUGAUUAUUUUAAGUUAUUACAGUGGUACCUCUGGUUACAAACUUAAUUCGUUCUGGAGGUCUGUUUUUAACCUGAAACUGUUCUUAACCUGAGGUACCACUUUAGCUCAUGGGGCCUCCCAUUGCCACUGCGCGAUUUCUGUUCUCAUCCUGAGGUAAAGUUCUUAACCUGAGGUACUACUUCCAGGUUAGUGGAGUUUGUAACUCGAAGCGUUUGUAACCCAAAGUGUUUGUAACCCGAGGUACAACUGUAUUAUUAUUAUUAUUAUUAUUAUUAUUAUUAAUAAUAAUAAUAAUAAUAAUUUGUUGUUGUUGUUACAAUCAUCUGAAGAUCACAGGGAAAUUUACAGUAUAAAAAUACAAAGAAUACUUCUCCACAGUUUAAAAGGCCAUAGAUUGUUUAAUAAGCCAAAGGCCCAGAAGAAGAGGAAUGUUUUUGCCUGUUACUUAAAGAUAUGUAGUGAAUGCGUCAGGUGAGAUUCCCUGAGGAGAGCAACAAGUGGGGAGCCACCACAAAAAAGGCCUGUUCUCAUGUUUCUGCCCUCAGGAACUCUUGUGGAUGAAGCACAUGAAUUGUUGUUGUUGUUGUUGUUGUUGUUGUUGUUGUUGUUGUUGUUGCUGUUGUUGUUGCUGUUGUUGUUGCUGUUGUUGUUGUUGUUGUUGUUGUUGUUGUUGUUGUUAUUAAUUUAUUAUUUCUACUCUGCCCAUCUGGCUGGGUUCCCCCAUCCACUCUGGGCGGCUUUCAACAAAAUAUUAAAAACAGAAUAAAACUUCAAACAUUAAAACUUCCCUAAACAGGGCUGCCUUCAGAUGUCUUCUAAAAGUUGGAUAGUUGUUUAUUUCCUUGACAUCAGAUGGGAGGGCGUUCCACAGGGCGGGUUCCACUACCGAGAAGGCCCUCUGCCUGGUUCCCUGUAACCUCACUUCUCACAGUGAGGGAACCACCAGAAGGCCCUCGGCUCUGGACCUCAGUGAAAGGGCCUCUGAUGAUGAAAAGUUGCAGCCACAUUUUAUUUAUCAAUGCAACAGCUUUAUAUUCACCUGAAACUUUCCCCCCAACAUAAUCUUGCCUCUUGGACCAUUGCUAUAUUCUAAUUUUCAGAAUGUUUGUGAUACAGUUUUGGACAUUACCAGAUUCUGCACUGUUUAACAUGGUGGUGGUGAAUAAGGUCUACUUUCUCACUGUGGGGAAUAGCUUUCAAGUCUUUACUUCCAUCUGCUUUUCAUAUCUGUACCCACUGUAUUCUAUAGUGAAUCUAAUGGCAUACAGCAAUUACUGUUUAGGUGGAAUAUAUUUCUUGAAUAUUGCAGUGGUUAUGUAAGGUAGUGUACCGUCUCUUCAUAGUAUGUGUCUUCUGAAAUAUCAAAGAAAAGAGCACGAUUGAAGUUUGAUCAUGAAAUGACAAUUAAGAUGCACUAAUAGCAUGCACCUGCAAGCAACAGCUUGAUCAAACUGACAAAUCAAGAUCUAUCAGAAUAAUGCAAAGGGUGUCCAGUUGUGUGACUUUGAAAUAGGAGGAGAGGACACUGGAACCCAUCUGGAAAGCUCCCUAUUGGGUAUUUUUAAAAAAAAAGAAAGAAAGAGAAAUUGUGUUAACAACGCACAGCAAACUUUCAGAGGAGGAACAGGAAUGUAACAAUAGAGAAAUGAACUGGUGCAGAACAAACAACAUAGAUAACAGACUGAUGUUUCCCCAAAGGGAAAGGGAAAGAGGAUUAAUACGUAGUUUAAACAUCUUUUUGGUGCCCUUGAUUGCAUAGCAUUUAGAAAUUAUGUAUUAGUAGAAUAUGUAAAAGCAAAACACGGAGGCUGCUCAUGGAGGCUGUGAGAACAGAAUGGUAGACUAGAUGGGCCUUUGGCUUGAUCCAGCAAGACUCUUCUUUUCUUCUUAAAUAAAUAAUAAAAAAAUAUUAUUUAUACCCCACCCAUCUGGCUGGGUUUCCCAUCAACUUGUAGAUCAGAAUCCAUGCUUAGCACUUGUCUUCAGUCCAUUCUCAGGGGUUGAGGUAUGGUGUCAUUCUUUCUUUAAAAAACACACCACAUUUUUCUGUUUAAGCCAUGUGUAAUACCUAUCUCCUCAUAUUUUGCAGAAAUCCACUGAGCCCCCUCUCCCUUACAUGAGAGGCAGAGCAUCUAGGCCAGACAUAGGCAAACUUGGCCCUCCAGAUGUUUUGAGACUACAAUUCCCAUCACCCCUGUUAGCUAGGGAUGAUGGGAGUUGUAGUCCCAAAACAUCUGGAGGGCCGAAUUUGCCUAUGCCUGAUCUAGGCAAAGCAUGCUGCUUUAAAAAUAGCAAGAAUAAUGGGGGAGACAUUAAAUAAUCUGUUUUCCAGAUUAAUUUAUGUGAACACUGAGCUGCCGUAAGGGUUUCCCAGUGUGAAAUUUGCACAUCUUCUAACAAAACAGCAGCGUCCUGAGGACUGACAAAGAGUUCUCAUCUUUAUUUCUGUCUAUCAUACUUUCUAGUUCUCCAUCAAGAAUUUCAGAGUGGCCUACAUGGGUAGUCUCCUGCAAAAAGAGUUACACUAGGAUAUAUUAUCUUGCCAAUAACAACCUAGUUGAUGAGCUAGAUUUCCUUGGGCCAAGCCCAACACUACCCACCCAUACCACAGUGCUGUUUGUGGGCAGAUCCUGGCUUAAAAUGAAAUUUGGAGUACAUAUAUUUGACUACAAGUGGUGUGUGUGUGCUGGUGUUUUAGAUGACACAACUGAAAUAAUAUAUAGUCUCCAUACUGCUCCACAGUUAAUACUCUUCACCACUUCUCAUGAUUUAUAUAGUCUUGGGUAGACAGGGACAGUUACAUCUUAGAACUUACAUCAGAAUUGCACCUGUGGGUCGAUCAAAUGGCUAAUAUUUACUCGAACUUCACAGUGGGGUUUCUUUUUUGUUUCCAUUUUGGAAUUGCAGAAAACUGGGAACCAUGCAAAGUUAUAUUGUUCAGAAAGCCUUUGCAUAUGAUUGCUUCUGCAGUGGCAUUAUUUUAGGCCAACUAAUUUUAUUCUUAAAAGAAAAAAAAUGUUCUCAGCAUGGAACCCAUUAUGUCAUGUGCUCAAUCUCUUUUUAAAAGAGUCCACUACAUCAUGGCCUCAAAAUAUUGGUCUUCUUUCUGUUUUCCUGUCAGUAGAGAUCCACCCUGUGUCUAAAGACAAUUUUAAAUAUAAGGAGUAAAGGUAAAGGGACCCCUGACCAUUAGGUCCAGUCGUGGCUGACUCUGGGGUUGCGGCGCUCAUCUACGUAGAUUUAACAACUCCAUUUGGACAUUCUGUUUUCAAGGAGGAUGAGCAUGUCAGGAGCGUCGUAGAAAGGCUGAGUGGGUUGUCAAGAGUGCCAUUGGAUAUGCUGGGUAUAGCAUCUUAGCUGGUUGUUGCAACUCUGGCACUACAAUUGGUGCUGCCUUCUGCCAGCGAAGAGCCACUCCCUUCAGGGAAGGCACAGGGGCCAAUAUGAUAGAGAGCCAGCCUGUACAUCUUUCUCUGUCACCAAGGACCAAGAGGUGACAAUGCCAGCAGAAACAGCCUACUCAGAGGAGUGCUUGCUUGCCCACCCACCCAGCCCUGAGUCUUGGGGUGCCAAUUGCUCAGCCUACUCAGAGGAGUGCUUGCUUGCCCACCCACCCAGCCCUGAGUCUUGGGGUGCCAAUUGUGUGAAUGAAUAAGCUCUCCUGUCUGGUAGGGUGGGCACAAGGACCGUGUUAAAUGUUGGGUCUCAGAUUAUACCUAGUCAUGGACUUGUAUAACCAAACUUAUAUAUGGGAACAGUAGUGAAUCUUGGAAUAAAGCUUUUAAUUUUAACAGCUGAGUACCAAAUCUGUGAGUGGGAGCCAGGACAGAGUACACUGGCUCCACCCCCCUUGUUAUUCAACCUGUCUUCUAUGAGUUGGAGGCUGACUGUGUGAAUCAGGAAGCCUCCUGUAUUCAUGGAAGCUCCCUUAAACCACAUGGGAAGCCCCUGUGGAUACAGAAGGCUGCGUGCUUCAAACAGUCACUCAACAACCCAUGGGAGGCAAUUCGAUGAAUGAGGAGGUGCUCCUGGUAACAUGAUUACUUUACCCCCCAAAACACACGUGGCUAUGGCUAAUGUGAGAAGACUUCAUGUGCUUGAAUCUGCUUCCAGGUGUUGCUGGACUACAGCUCCCAUCAGCCAUGCUGUGGAACAUCUGGAGGGCAACCCCUUGGCUACCCCUGCUUUCAGCAUUAAUAUCAUCUUGAAAGCAACGCUGGAAGGUAACUCUUCAUGUUUAUUUCGAGUGGUACAUUCAAAUACAAAUACCUAAGUGGCCGAAGUUUACUUAAAUUUCUAUCGAUUUUACCUGAUGCUGAACUUCUCCUGACUGCAUCUCGAUAUUGGGAAGUGAUAUGCUAAGUAAUGCAAUUAAGGUACAAUGUUCCCUGAAGUUACAAUUAACUAUGACCUUUCUGUGGUUGAAAGUCACAGCACUGCCAAGAGCAGAGGGAAGGAGCUGAAAUGUGGAAGACGAUCCAACACCUUUAAAAUUUUGACAAAAGCCUUUUAAAUGCAUUGGAUUCUUUGGAGAUGUUUUAAUUAACUCUGUCUUCCAUAAUGGCCAUUUUAUUAAAGUCUUGGGCUUGGAAUGAUGUCAGCUGAGCUUGAUCCACACGGCACAUCUGUUCUCAGCCGGAUUCCUUCGUGCUUGGUGUACAUUUUAUGGAGCCAUGUAAAGGAGGUUGGAUCCUAUCCAAACGAUGAGAAGUAAAAAUCUGUUGGGUUGCCUUUGAGCUUGUCAUCACUCUGUUGUGUAAAUACCUCAAAAAAGUGUGUUUUGGCUAUAGGUCCUGUCUAGUUAUGAGCAAAGUUAAUAAAUUGGGGGUGUUGAAGGAGCUGGGAACGAUGACACAAAUCAUGACAUGGUAAAAGGGACUGUGUGUGUGGGGGGGUUGUUGUUGUUGUUUAGUUGUUUAGUCAUGUCCGACUCUUCGCGACCCCAUGGACCAGAGCACGCCAGGCACUCCUGUCUUCCACUGCCUCCUGCAGUUUGGUCAAACUCAUGCUAGUAGCUUCGAGAACACUGUCUAACCAUCUCAUCCUCUGUCGUCCCCUUCUCCUUGUGCCCUCCAUCUUUCCCAACAUCAGGGUCUUUUCCAGGGAGUCUUCUCUUCCCUUAUUGUAGUCUACAGCUGGGAGCAAAGUCUUGACAUUGAGCACUAAGAGUUGUAGUAGCACUAAGCAGAAUGUUCUGUCAGCGCAAGGAUUUCUCCUUGUGAAAUGAAACAUUCUCCUACUCUCCUCUCCUGUACACCCCCUCAAUCCGUUCUUGGGUCCCCAUACCCCCACCUUCCAAAGCAGAUGUGAGGAUGGCAUGAGUUGUACACAGAGGGAGGAAAGUAUCAGGAAUCACCUUGUGCCUAGUGCUAAUUCUUGGACGUGUGCUGAUAAAAGGAGCUGAGCACUGGUUCAUCUCCCACAAUGAGCACCACUGCUUAAACACAUUUGCAGGGGGGCCAGGAUGAGAUGAGUGACGGGCGGUAGCAGCAAGCAGCAGCAAUACCACAUCAUGGCUCUGGAGGUCUCAGUGAUAGAGCAGGGUGGCAGUAGUGGGACAUGAGUUCCUGGACCUCAGCAUGUUUUUGACAACGAUGACCCUUAAUUUUUUAGAAAGCUAAGGAGGCUACUAACAUUGUUUCCUAACCUUGAGAAGCAAAUAAGGAAAUAUGCUGCAUCAAAUAUGUUCUGCAGUUGAAACAGGGAUUUUCUGGGUCAGGGUUCCCCCCCCCCCCAGUGUUUGAUAAGAGAUGUCAGGUAAGAUGCAGCUUAAUUUCCACUCAUGGCUUUAACAAUCUUUUAGUAUUGACAUUUUGUACCCCCAUGUGAUAUAAAGUUGUUAUGAUUCCUUUUCACCCAGCCAGAGUCAUUGCUAAUUCCUAAAGCGCAAUAGUUGUUCGUUGAGUUUUUUCAUUCUUUCUGUGGCUGAUUGCUAGAUAAGAGCAGUUUUCUAGCACAAAGCAAGCACGAUUCCCAUAAAACAGGUAAUUAUAUUGAUGCUUUUAAAGCACAGUGACUUAAAAGUACAAAGCCUGGGCAUAUUCUAUUUUUAUUGUAAAGUUCGACUUCCUACAUCUUAUUUCAUAGAUUUUUCUUUUUCUUUUCUUUUUUUGUACUUGCAAUCACUUCACCACUUUAAAACUGUAAUGUAAAAAGUUUAAUAUGACAUUUCUUAAAAUCACUGCUUCCAACACUUUUUCUGUGCAAUUCUUUCCUGCACUCUUGCCCAAGUAUAAAUUUUAAAAGAGAAAAUAUAAUAAGUAGACCAGCCAGUGAAUGGAUGUCAUGUUAUUAAUCUAAACAUCUGGCCUUGCACACACUGCCAGUUCUCAAAAUGAUAAUGAAUUGGUGGCAAUCAACUUGACAAAGUUUAAAGAACAGAACUUGAUAUUUGAGUGAAUUUGGUUACAUUACUUUUUGAAACAAAUGGAAGGUUCAAUAUAGAGAUUAUUUUCUUUUGUCUUUGGGUUGCACAGGCCAAAAGGAUUACCAUAUUUACUCAAAUCUAAUGCUCACCUUUUUUUUUUGGCCAAAUUAAGGUGUGCAUUAGAUUCUAUGGGACCUUUACAUUCACCAGCAAACACAUUUUUUGGUUGCAAACUUCUUAAAACAGGUGCGCAUUAGAUUCAAUGGGACAUUAAAGGUAAAGGUAAAGGGACCCCUGACCAUUAGGUCCAGUCGUGACCGACUCUGGGAUUGUGGCACUCAUCUAGCUUUAUUGGCCAAGGGAGCCGGCGUACAGCUUCCGGGUCAUGUGGCCAGCAUGACUAAGCUGCUUCUGGUGAACCCGAGCAGCACACGGAAACGCCGUUUACCUUCCCACCAGAGCGGUACCUAUUUAUCUACUUGAACUUUGAAGUGCUUUCAAACUGCUAGGUUGGCAGGAGCAGGGACCGAGCAACGGGAGUUCACCCCAUGGUGGGGAUUCAAACCACCGACCUUCUGAUUGGCAAGUCCUAGGCUCUGUGGUUUAACCCACAGUGCCACCCACGUCCCUCAAUGGGACAUUAGACUCAAGUAAAUAUGGUAAUCCUUAUAAAUUCAUUUAUGCUACUGGUAUAUUGUCUGUGUUUUGCUAAUUGGAAAACUGUAUCUGGAGCUUUGUACAAAUGGCCUUUCAAAAUUCUCUACCACAUUUAUUUGCAGAGAAAUGGUGGGGAAGGGAACAAUUGCAUCACAUUUCUUCAUGGGGGAAGAAAAAUUCUCCCUCAAUAGUUCCUUGGAAAUGGGGCUUAGCAUUAUGGGUAGCAGUUGUGAGAGAUUUGCAGUCAAACCUAACUGUGUAUGUGAAGGAGUUAAGGACCACAGAGUUCUAAUUUGCUAGAGUAGGCUCUGUGAUGCAAUGUCCCCUCUUCUCCUGAGAGGCAGAAAGCAAGACUUGUUUCUUGUUCCUUUCUCUCUCUUUCUCUCACUCUGCAUGCAACAGAGGCAGACAUGCCUCAACACAUCUCUCUGCCUCUGAGGUUGCCCUGGCUGUAUUUUUCAACUAAGAAUAUUUACCUGCAUUUUAACAUUGCUACUAAGGACAAUGCAUCACUGUAAGUAAAGUCUAUUUUAAACUUUCUUCGUUGUGUGGUCUGUUUCUCUGCAGGAGGGGUCAAAGGAGUCAAAGUUGGCUCAGUUAGCUGGAACAUAUUAAACAAAGGUUUAAAAGCCUAAGCCUAUGCCUAUGCCUAUGCCUAUGCUUCACUAAAUCUGCUUAAUGAUGGGAUUGAAACUCUGCUACUGGGGCUCUUUAUAUGCAAGCUGUGCUUUUUUUUAAAUAAGCACCAGUUGGUUUUCUUUUCUUUUUUUCUAACCUGCACAUAUAGGUCUGCAGAGAAUUAAAUGUAAUUAAUAUAUCCUCUUAUAUUGGAGACCUAUUGGCAGUAGCAUAGUUUUUCUUUUUCCUGAUAUAGGCAGUCUGGCCACCAUUUUAUAUCCUCCAUAGUGUACUGUCCCCCUAGCAUCAUUCUGAAGCAUGGGGUGGUAGGAGGGGUUGAGGAGAAGGUAGCCACCACAAAAUGGUGAAGAAUAUAUAGAGAAGAUUGAGUGGUCUUCUUUUUCUGUGAAUGUAAGCUGAAGAAGAAACUCACAUCUUGGAGCUUGCAUGAGUUUAUGACUGAAUUUAGAUUUGAGCCAAUAACCAUUUUAUGGGCUGUGAAAGAACCAUUUAAUCCUGAGAGAAAACGGCUACCAAACCUUAUGUAAAUGUUCUAAUAAGAUUCCCCACGCUGUCAUUAAAGGCCAUUUGGUAGGCAAACUGUUAAGUUUUUGAGGUAAAAAGGUUGCCGGAUCACCUUUAGCUUGAGGUGAAGCAAUACAGUUGCACAUGUGGCCUGUCUGUCAAAAAUCCAUAUAGUUACUAUGUAGAAGGAAGUUAUCUUUAAGGAGUGUUCUCAUAAAGAUAAGGGAUAAUGUGAGCAUUUACUACAUGAAGUAGCACAGUGGUGGGUUUCAAUAAAAGGACAACUUUAACAUUUGGUCUCAGUGCAGUGGUACUAUAAUAUAUUGCUGCAAGUGGUGAGAGCAGUAGAAAUAAGAUAUAAUUACAAAGAGCAGCUAAUCUAUCACACGUGGUGGCAGGAUUGCUGCAAUCGACUCCUUUAAAAAAUACGGAGUGUUGAGGAAAUGUUCAACAGGAACUGAAGGGUGCUUUUUUUUUAAUGAGGACAUUUGACCUGAAGUUCUGCUAAACAAGGAUUUAUAAGAUAAGACAAGCACAUUGGAAAUCUUUACAGCCGUGUCAAGCUGUCUGCUGAUAUCCCAAAAUGAUCAGUUUAUCUCUGAGCACCAAACACAUCCAACAGGUAAAUAAUCACUUUUGAAAUAAUCUGAAAAUCUGGGUUUCGCACACCUUGGUGGAAUGUGAACUGCAAAUCAGGAAACAGUUGUCAUAUUUGUAUUUUUUUGCUCUGAUGAAUUCCUUGCCAUCAGCUUCUCCUCAUUUCAAGACAUGUUCAUCCUAGAUUGGGUUUUUUUACUGAUAAGAUUUUUUUAAUGAAGUUCGAGUGUUUGGUAGUGAAAAGAGUUCACUGGCCAUUUAAGCUUCUGUGAUUUAAAUAGCUGCUUCUCUGUGAAUAACGCUUUUACACAAAAUUGAAUAACACUUUCACAUUAAUGAAUAUGAACUGGCUAGACAGGUAUUAUAUGGCCAGCAAUUUUAAUACAUAAGGGCACGUAAACGAAACACUAAACCUUCGAACAUUUAAGAUUAUAGACAGCUAUACGCAAUAUUUUCCUUUUAUUGGGAGAUAAUUUUACAAUUAAAGAUCUCCCCUUACACUGGAUUAUGUGAAUAGGGGGCCUGUGUUGAGAAGAGGGCUUAUCCUUUCAGGUCUACGAAGGUCUAUUAACUUUUCCCAGCUACAUUUGAGAUCCAUUUGAGUUUGUUUUUUAAAUCCCCCAGUCACCCAGAGCUCAUUUUGGGGUAACUUGGAAAACUGUAAGUGUGAGGAGAGGAAGAAGCCCCAUUUUGCAAGUGGACAUCCACUUAAACUACAUUGGAUUUCACCCAAUAGUACUUACUUCUGAGAAGACAUAUAUAGAACUGCACUGCUAAUGCUUGUGUUCAAGUCAAGAUGACAAAGAUUUCUUUAUAUGACUUUAUAUGAAAGUAAGCACCCUUUUAAAGGUGGUCUUCUUUAACGUACAAAUGUAGUGUGUUUGAUGGGGAGAAGAGUUAAGCAAUACACAUCUUCCCUUUUGUCUGUUUGAUAACACAGAAAAUAUUCAUCUCCUCUCCUGUAUUUAAAGAUUACAUUAUGUGAGAGCAUUAAAAGCAAACAAAUCAGGAAUCAAAGGGUGGCAUUCAGCUGAGUUUUACUCAGAAUAGACCCACUGAAAUUAAUGGGCCUAACUCAGUUCAUUAAUUUCAGUAGUUUGGUUCUAUCCUGAGUAAAACGUAGCUGAGUGUCCUCCUAAUAAUUUCUUGACAAGAGAAAUUAUGCAUUUUUAUUUCGCAAAAUCUUUUUGGGGGACACACACACACACACACACACACACACAAACACACUUCUUUUACUCCAAGAAGUUAUGUCCUUGUUCAAACUGGAGCCUUGGCAGUUUGAAAACUAACAUGAAGUAGACAUGUAAUGUUUGCUUAAGCUUUUUUAAAUGUCAAAAUGAAAAGGUCAUAAUAUUAUGUUCAGGUUGCUGAAAAUGAGAAUAGGGCAUUAUAAGUGUAGUCGGAAACUAGUUUUCUGUACUUGCAAUUUAUAAAAUGCACUGUAACCUUGCUACUCUGUUUGUUGCCCUUUAAAUAGAAAAUAUCUUCCUUUCCUGCAAUUUCUUGUGCUUUCCAUUGCUCCUGUAUUGGGCAGACAAAUGUUCUGUAUUGUACCUACAGAUUGUACCUAUAUUGUACCUGUAUUGAAAUACAACAAAUCCUAGAUUUUUAGAAUGAUGUGUAUUAUUAUUAUGAAGACUUUUCAGUCUAAUUUGAGAUCUGUUUUCCCCUGAGUACAGUUUGGAUAGUGCAGACUUUACUGCAAACAAAACAAUUGUCUUCUACCAUUAUUUAGGAACAUCACCCAACCCCCAGUAAUGCUCAUUGCCAGGCUAGUAAAUUCACAGUCUCUAUACUAGUACAAUAAAUAAGGCAGCAGCUUUCACAGGGGAAUAACUUGAAACUGCUGGCAAUGGAUGAUAGAACAUCAGGUACUGAAGAAGCUGUAUCAAUAUGAUGAGUGCAGCAGAAGAAUUCAUUGCAUUGUCCUUUGUUAAAAGAGAGUAAGUGUUUUUGGAGAAUGGAGAAAAUGAUGAGACAACUUCCAUGAGUACAAUACUAUGUGUCUGCAGCACCCAGCUUGUGCUUGGGGUUUGUGAUCCUACUGUUCUCCCUACGCUUGUCUAAGCAGUAACAUAACAACCCAAUGGACGCGGGUGGCACUGUGGGUAAAACCUCAGCGCCUAGGACUUGCCGAUCGCAUGGUCGGCAGUUUGAAUCCCCGUGGCGGGGUGCGCUCCCGUCAUUCGGUCCCAGCGCCUGCCAACCUAGCAGUUCGAAAGCACCUCCGGGUGCAAGUAGAUAAAUAGGGACCGCUUACCUGCGGGAAGGUAAACGGCGUUCCGUGUGCUGCGCUGGCUCGCCAGAUGCAGCUUGUCACGCUGGCCACGUGACCCGGAAGUGUCUGCGGACAGCGCUGGCUCCCGGCCUAUAGAGUGAGAUGAGCGCACAACCCUAGAGUCUGGCAAGACUGACCCGUACGGGCAGGGGUACCUUUACCUUUACCUUUAACAACCCAAUGCUGUAGACAUGAACAUACUUUUCUGUACAUCUCUAAGUUCAUCCCGAUAGCUGCCUACUGGUUAUCCUUCUAUUCCCCAUUUCUAUUCUUCUAGAUGAAUAAUGUCUUCUACCUGGUAUUCAGAGCUAUUUCUUUUAGAAAAAGAAGUGCCAGAACUCACAAUUAAUGGCAAUGGCGCCCACUUGAGAGGUGCUGGAACUGAGUUCUGGGAAGUUCUGGCUGACAAAAAGCCUUGCAUACCCCUACUGAGGCAGACUCUCCCCUACAAUUUCAUCAGCGAUAGUGUUUAAUCAAGCCUUGGGUAAAAAAGGGUAACAUUUAAUGUUCCACAGCUAUUUAAAAGGUUAAAGGCAUUGACUCUUAAUAGCUUUAUUAUACAUUAAUUUUUCUGUUCUGCUGCUUGUUUUACUCAAAAGCUACAGUGACUAACACGGAUAAAUUUGAAGUCUGCCUACUUUCAACUCCUACUUCUCCUUGACAUAUUCAAAAUGUAUAGUGGCUAAAUGUUCCUGGUAAUGCUUGUCCCAAGAGUGACAGAUGACAAGUGCUACCACUGCCUUAGGCUGCUUGAAGUUAUAAAAAGAUUCCUUUUAGCUUCAUCAUUACAAAUUCUCCUUUUAUUCCAGAGAGCACCAUUUGCAUAGUCGAUCCAUCAAUAAGUCAAAAGUGCCAGGCUGACACUUAAACUUGCACAGAAGUCCAAUUAUUGCAAUUUUGUCUGAGGCAAUGAUAUGGAUUGUAUAAAUGAUGGUGCCAUAAAUAUUCCAAUACAAGAAUAUAAAAGGAAUAUUUAUUAUUUAUGCCAUGUCCAGAGCACAAAAUGGCACAAUGGCUUUGAGAAGAUGGGCAUAGAUUUGCUGUGCAUUGUCCCACAUCUGCAAUCCACAUGUCAAACAAAAUGACAGCAAAUGUCCACUUGAUUUUAAAGGUGUUUCUCUGAAAUAAGCCCUUUGUGUUGCUAAAGCACUUCCAUUUUGUCCCUACACCUCCAUUUAGGUUUUGUAGCUGGCAAGGGUUAGCAGCUCAUGGUGCUUGUGCUGUUCUGUCAAGACAACCACCUCCCAAUAGAGAGGAAUGUAGCUUAGCCUAGCUCAUGAAUGGCUGUAGCUCAAUAGCAAAGCAUCUAUUUUAAAUGCAGAAUGCCCAAGGUUAAAUCCCCAUUAUCUUCAGACAGAGCUGAGAAUGCUGCUGGUCUGAAACCCUGAAGAGCCACAACCAGUCAGUGCAGACUGUAUUGAGCUAGAUGGACAAAUCAUUUGAAUCAAUAUAAGGCAACUUCCUAUGUUUCUACUCUAAUGCAGUUGGGGCAACAUGUUAUCACUUAGUAUAGUGUUGGUCCACAACAGCUUACACCAGGCGUAGGCAAACUUGGCUCUCCAGAUGUUUUGGGACUGCAACUCCCAUCAUCCCUGACCACUGGUCCUGUUAGCUAGGGAUGAUGGGAGUUGUAGUCCCAAAACAUCCGGAGGGCCGAGUUUGCCUAUGCCUGGCUUACACCAUAAUAAUGUUUUUGUUGCCAGUCAAAAUAGGCAACAGUAACAGGAUGGCAAAUUGUCUGACCUGCAAGAAGGCAGGUUUUUUUUUUGGUAUUCUGUUUGAGAGCCUUGUCCAACUUGAUGCCUUCCAGAUAUUUUGGACUGCAGCUCCCAUCAGCUCUAGCCAAACAUAUCCCACAGUCAGGGGUGAUGGGAGCUGAAGUUCAACACAACUAGAGGACACCGGGUUGGGGACGACUGAUCCAUCACAACAAAGGCUUUGGAAACAGGAUCUCCAACGGGUUUGCAUGAGAGAAUGUGAUUCCUGACAUUUCUGAGAUACGUUGGUCCCAGCUCAUUCAGGUCUUUGUCUUCUGCUCAUGACUACAGGGUGCUUCCAGACUGUUACCAUUUCCAAGUGGCCUUCAAUCAUAGAUCAACCAGUUCAGGUUGUACAAUUAAAUUUUGAGCUCUUGGGUAACAAACCCUCCCCUAAAAAAGAGACUUUUUUCUGGUAAGGAAAGUGUUUGGAAAAUGCAUUGGAAAGUGUGGGAUAACUCUUGCUUGACACUAAUUGUUUAACCUCUUCACACACAAAUCAGGGUGAACGUUCAAUAAACAUUCAUCAACUGUGGCACCAUGGUUGCUUAAACAGUUUAGAUAUAGUGUUCAUAUCUAUUGAAGUUACAUCCACUUUUUGCUUGCAUGCUUUUUGCUUACAUGACCUUUGUUUUGUUUAAGAAUUCUUCAAAAUGAAUCAUCUCAGGAUUUAAAAGGCAAGAAAGCAAUGCUGCGUGUGGGCUGAUACAGAUGGAAAGGACGGAAACAAUUUGAUUUCAAUUUAGAUCAAUAGCCGUGUAAAUUAUACCACUUAUAGUCAUCAAUUUUAGCAUAAGUCUGUAGACAUAAAAACUAAUCCCAAG